rnacentral:rRNA from 1 species
AGUGAACGCUGGCGGCGUGCUUAACACAUGCAAGUCGAACGCGAAAGUGUAGCAAUACAUGAGUAGAGUGGCGAACGGGUGAGUAAAAUGUGGGUAAUCUAGCUUUCAGAGGGGGAUAACCCGGGGAAACCUGGGCUAAAACCGCGUAACAUAUUGGGGUUUAAGGACCCUAAUAUCAAAACAUGGCCUCUAUUUAUAAGCUAUGGCUGAGAGAUGAGCCCCACAUCCUAUCACGCUUGUUGGUGGGGUAACGGCCCACCAAGGCGACGACGGGUAGCCGGCCUGAGAGGGUGUCCGGCCACACUGGAACUGAGACACGGUCCAGACUCCUACGGGAGGCAGCAGUGGGGAAUUUUUCGCAAUGGGCGCAAGCCCGACGAAGCAACGCCGCGUAGAGGAUGAAGGCCCUCGCGGUCGUAAACUCUUGUCUAGCGGGACGAAACCUCCAUAAGUGAAUAACUUAUGGAAUUGACUGUACCGCUGGAGGAAGCUCCGGCCAACUCCGUGCCAGCCGCCGCGGUAAG